UGGUCGUGUUGGUCGCGCGAAGAGAAGUGAAUGACAUGUUCGGGUUGUUGUGUCAAUUAUUCGAGAGGCCUACGUAUGCCUGGUGUAGUUUCGGUGUUCGGGGAUGCAAAAAUCAUGUUCGUUCACCAUCGGCGGCGUGCGUUUUCUGCCACAAGAUUCAAGAGAAGAGUGCGCGAAAACGAAUGUGGUUCGAAACACUCGGUUAUUAGAUGUAGCAGUCGUGUCGUGUGUGCUGAGCUCAUCUAGCUGCCGAUGACUAAGAAGAUGCCAUAGAAGGCGAAUUGCGAAGACGUCCGAAGGAAACUGCCGUUCAGUAACUAGUGAUUUUGCUUCACCGAGGUGACGAGUUCAACACAACGUCUUAGGAGCCUUCCAGUGUUGAAGUGGCGCAAGACUGCUUCGUGUGUGUGUGAUCCAGACACUGACAUGACAGAAAUAGCUGAAAACAGUCUUUGGACAGGUGCAGAACAUUAGUAUGACGUCAACAAGGGGAGAAGAAACUGGAGAGAACUACUAGCUUGUUUGAAGGGUACAAGAAUACUUCCUGUUGAGAUGUAGUUAUGACUUUAUGACUAAGAAACGCUAAUUAAUUUUCUAGAGAUGCAUCCUCUACAGCUGAAUGCCCAGUGAAACAGCAAACGUUCGUUGUCUUUGAAGUCCCACUACGGGAAUUGUUCAAUGUGUGUCAGAGCUGCAGUGAGCCAUGCAAGGUUACCACAUCAUAUUGGUCCUAAAUUUGCAGAGUUCCCCUAUCUCGGACGCAACUGUAAUUUCUCUUUAUUGCUCUUCCGAUCCUACCUUCUCAGAGAUUAAUGUGGUUCACCAUACACUGCAUGGGUACUGCCUUUCUCUAUACUCAUGCUUUCGGUUUCUUGUUCUGUUGAAUAAAUCUUCACUUGAGUUUGAGAGCCAUCACACUGUCUACUGUGUUUGCCCCUCAUCUAUAUUGAUGUGCUGUAACGCUAUAGCACAUCGACAUGCCAACAACCUACCAAGCAACCUUGCUUCGUCCUACUUUUGGAUGGAAACUACACGAUGUGGUAACAUCUACAUAUAUAAAGUUUUAAUCGACGGAGAUUUGCUGUUUUUGUACAACCUUCAUUGUACAUUGCUGUUGUCUCACUUAGCAUGCCUGAAGAAAUGUUCUGAUCUUCAUCAAGAUGACAGGUCAUUGUUCGAUCUGCAGCAUUAUUGUUCCUGUAAUCUUUUCACCAACAGAGAAUACAAAAGUGGACAAAUGGUAAAAUAUAACUAGCUUGUUAAAUUCAAAAG